CGUCAGGCAGAAUCACAGCCAAUAUGAACUUCCAAUGCUCAAUGACUCUUUGAUCAGUAUAAUCAAAAUGCAUCUCAGCAACUGAAAUGCUGCAAAAGUAACAAAAUGCUGUCUUGUGAUCGUGGAAAUUAAACUUAUUUCAAACACUAACACUUAGGGAGAGCAUGCAUGACUUGGCUUCUGCAUUUUUUAAAGAUUAACAUAUUGUGAUCUCCUUUGAGCAAAAGAUAUAUUCUGUAACUCAGGCAGUACUUCUCUAUUGCCUUCUUCAAAGGAGUUGCAUAUGAAGGUAAAUAAAUAAAGCACAGUGAGAAGCACACUAUUUACUAAGACCUAAGUGAAACAGAAAACAUUUGAAAGACCAAGAAAAAGGAGUAUCUGUUUAUGCUUCUACAAAUUGAAACCCCACUGGCAAUGCGCUGGAGAACAGAGCUGAGCACAAUAACACAUCAGCCUGGCGAUUAGUUCAAGCACACUGUUAUGGCCUGAGUAUGCCAACAUUUAGACCUGACACAAGAUCAAAAGGCUGAUAAAUGAGAGGAAAGGGGAUGUUUGACCCACUAAACCAUAUUCUACAAGAA